UAGGGAAUCUUCGGCAAUGGACUAAAGUCUGACCGAGCAACGCCGCGUUAGUGAAGAAGGUUUUCGGAUCGUAAAACUCUGUUGUUAGAGAAGAACAAGGACGUUAGUAACUGAACGUCCCCUGACGGUAUCUAACCAGAAAGCCACGGCUAACUACGUGCCAGCAGCCUCGGUAAUACAUAGGUGGCAAGCGUUGUCCGGAUUUAUUGGGCGUAAAGCGAUCGCAGGCGGUUUCUUAAGUCUGAUGUGAAAGCCCCCGGCUCAACCGGGGAGGGUCAUUGGAAACUGGGAGACUUGAGUGCAGAAGAGGAGAGUGGAAUUCCAUGUGUAGCGGUGAAAUGCGUAGAUAUAUGGAGGAACACCAGUGGCGAAUGCGGCUCUCUGGUCUGUAACUGACGCUGAGGCUCGAAAGCGUGGGGAGCAAACAGG
rnacentral:rRNA from 1 species